AAAUCUGCCGAAACAUCCCGAAUAUUUCAAUAUUUACAAGCAUAAGCUGUCACUCUGUGUUUACACAGCCACCAUUUUGGACUCUACAGCCAUUUUUUUAGUCAAGUAAGGGGCGGACCAUUAGAAAAGUGGGGGGGGGGGUGUUACAUGAUAGCAAUUAUCAUGUAUAUUUUAUAACAUUUUAUAUUAUACAUUAAUACAUUUUACUAUAUAUAUUAUAUAUCAUAGUUUAGUUAUAUUAUAUUUACUCUAAAGAAUUUACCUAUGAGAAAUUGUUUUACACACGGGAAGUUCUUUUAGCUUAGUCAUGCAUGAGCAAGCAAAUAUUUAGUUACCACAAGUGCGUAAUGGACGGGAACGGUUACCGCAAGAAGAUUGUAAGAAUCUUCCCACAACAUGACACUGCAAGAAAAAACGUUCCUCUCUGAACAUAUAUAGGAGAGCACAACUUUUAUGAUUCAUUCAUAGGCCUCCGUGCCUUACAUGAUUCAUUCAUAG